UACAAAGGUCUCAAGCGUUGUUCGGAUUCAUUGGGCGUAAAGGGUGCGUAGGCGGCGGGGCAAGUCAGGUGUGAAAUCCCGGGGCUCAACCCUGGAACUGCACUUGAUACUGCUUUGCUAGAGUACUGGAGAGGAGAUUGGAAUUUACGGUGUAGCAGUGAAAUGCGUAGAUAUCGUAAGGAAGACCAGUGGCGAAGGCGAAUCUCUGGACAGUUACUGACGCUGAGGCACGAAGGCCAGGGGAGCAAACGGG
rnacentral:rRNA from 1 species